rnacentral:rRNA from 1 species
CGGGUGCGUAAUGCAUGGGAAUCUGCCUAGUAGUGGGGAAUAACCCGGCGAAAGCCGGGCUAAUGCCGCAUACGACCUACGGGUGAAAGCGGGGGAUCGCAAGACCUCGCGCUAUUAGAUGAGCCCAUGUCGGAUUAGCUAGUUGGUAGGGUAACGGCCUACCAAGGCGACGAUCCGUAGCUGGUCUGAGAGGACGGCCAGCCACACU